rnacentral:lncRNA from 1 species
AAUGGUUCUGCCUUCAUGAAUGGGUUAUGUCAUGGGAGUGGGUUGGUUGUGGCAAGAGCAGGUUUGCUGUCAGCGCAGCCUCCUCUUGCCACUGUCUCCUCAUGCUUGCUCACUUGCCCUUCCGGCCCAUUAUUACACAGCAAGGAGGCUCUCACCAGAUGCUGAACAGAUGCCAGUGCCAUGCUCUUGGACUUCCUGCCCUCUAGGAUUGUGAGCCAAGGGCCAGCUAGACAAACGCACCAAGACCACACACAGAUUCUAAGACAACAGGAGCAUGUGUGAAGGCACGAAUAGCCAGGAGGGCAGAGCUCUAGUGCCUCCAGCACCAAGGCUUGGGAGUUACAGGUGCCCAAAUGUAAAAGCUUGGGGGUCACUCUUUACUCUUCUGUGCUUCACGCUUCAUGUCCAGUCCAUUGGUGGAUUCUGUCUGCUCAGCCUUCAAGAGGUAUCUGGGACCCAUGGCACCACCCUUCCCACAUCACCACUCCACCAGCCCACCAGCUCCUGCUCCUGAGUUAGGGAUGACCCCUAACCAGCCUCCUGUUUCCAUGAAGACCUUUAACCAUCUAUGCUCAACCCAGAAGCCUGGAUGGGCCUGUGAUCUACUGGGUCAGGUCCCAGCCCCUCCAUCACUCCACCCUCCAGUGAGUUCCCAUCCUACCCAGAGCAAAAUCUGUUCAUGUUGGAGACUUAAAUUUGUUCAUUAUGUUUUUUGUUGUUGUGUUGUUUUUAGAUCCCUGCUGUAUUUUGGUGAGAAAUGACAAUGCCUUAAAUAGUGGCAGGAAUUGAGAGGGGGAGACAGACAAAAGAGAUGAAACAGAGAAA